ACAGAAGGACCUGUCGCCCAUCUGCCCCCUUCUUCGAACACUACAGGAGAGAGAAAUCGGCACACGUAACCCUCGCCUCUUUUUCAUUUUUUUUUUUAUUAAUUCACGGACCACGUUUUUUGGAUUGUAUCACUGAGAAAACGGACGCAGUUGAGAAGAUUUUUCUUUAGCAAUUUCCAGCUACAAAUUGGAGUCUGUCACUUUUUCUGCUGAUUGUUAAAUUAUUUGCCAUUUGGGAAACUUUCGAUUUUCUAUUCAAGGUCUUUUUCUCGUUUGUUUUCAUAGCCUGCAAUAAAAUAAUCACAUAGUAUAAUUUCUGGAGCAAUGCCUGCAGGUUCUGAUCUAGAACUUGUUUUGCUUGGCUGACUUCAGGAACCAUGUCGAACUGUCGCCUGAGAAGCUGCCAUCAGAAAAGCUACUCUGGGAGUCUCGGAGUACAAAGUGGAAAUUGAACAGGUCCGGCCCUGAAGCGCCACGGUCAACUUGAACUCCUUCAGAUUUGCCGAGAGCCACUGUUCGCUGGGCUGGACGUGGCUCUUGGAGGAUCCCCUCUCUCACCCCGCUUUCUCCGAGGGAUGGUACUGGGUCCCCUGCGCUCAGGAGCGACUUGGCGGCUCCUAAAGAAAACGUGUUUCUUGUUUUGGGGGAAAUCGAAAUUAAAGGGAGAUGAGAACCGCACUUUUCUACUUCCUCCUCUGUACGUCGUGCCUGGUGCUCAUUAACGCCGAGGAACUUCCACAAGAGCUGAUUGAGCGACUGUCCCACAGUGAAAUCAACAGCAUCAGCGACCUCCAGCGGCUCUUGGACAUAGACUUCGUAGGUACGGGAAAUGAAGUCAUCGAGGAGCACAAGCAGAAGCAGCAGAAGCAGAACUAUUCCCACGCUUACUCGGACCUGAAGAGCUCGCAGGUCCACCGCAGACGCAAGAGGAGUGUGGAGGAGGCCGUGCCGGCGGUGUGCAAGACGCGGACGGUGAUCUACGAGAUCCCGCGCAGUCAGGUGGACCCCACCGCCGCCAACUUCCUCAUCUGGCCACCCUGCGUGGAGGUCAAGCGCUGCACGGGAUGCUGCAACACCAGCAACAUGCGCUGCCACCCCUCGCGCAAGCACCACCGCACCGUUAAGGUGGCCAAGGUGGAGUACGUGCGGAGGAAGCCCAAGCUCAAGGAGGUGUUUGUUCGGUUAGAGGACCACCUGGAGUGUGUGUGCACGUCGCACCAUCACGCGGUGGAGCAUGCAGACGCAGACACAGGCCACCGCAGGGCCAAGGGUAAGAAAGGAAAACACAGAAAGAGCAGGCUCACCAAGGAGCGAUUGGCCACAUAGCACUCAAAAACUCAAAACAAAGCGUAACACACACACACAAAAAAAAGAAAAUUGCUGGGCGCGUGGCGUUCUCCGGACUCCAGACGCCUGCAGUGGACGUGAGGUGAGGCCACCCAACGGGAGAGACGCCAGCGAGGGGCGAGGCGGGACAGAGACAGGAAAUCAGAGAGUCCGGAGAACUCACCCUUGACAUUUGACCCUUGACCCCCACACCACCACCACCACCACCACCACCACCACCACCAAAAAGAAGAGAAAAAAAUCCGACAACACAACAUGAAAGAAAACAAACUAUGCGGUCUGAUGAGAGACUAAAGUGAAUAAGAAAUACCAAAGGUGCUUUUCUUCCCGUAACCUGAUAUUACUUCAUUCUGCUGGGCCUGACAGACCUAACCAAUCAAACACUAAUGCAAGCGAUAGUAAUGAUGAUGAUAAUGAUGAUGAUGAUGAUGAUGAUGAUGAUGAUGAUGAUGAUGAAAAUGCCGACGACAUUUCAGUGUGGCAGUUGGAGGGAUGGGAGAGAAGGAGAAAGUGUCUGUUGUGCUGCUACAUGUGUCCAAACCACACAGACUUCAAAGGACGGACACACACACACUCACACACACAACUCACACACCCACACAUACAUAUAGACACACCCACUCACACACACCACAGACACACUCACACACAUAGAGAACUCUCACAGACUCUGACUGUAACAAAUGUACAAAAAAAAAGGACAGGAAGAGAACUGAUAAAGAACUGAUACAGAAAGGAUGUCAAAGAAAGAGACGGCCUUUUUUGUCAUGGACGCUUCUGCGCAGCCGUACGGAACUAUGGGACUCCUUUCUAACGCCCGCAGGCCUUAAGGCCAUAUUGCUCCCCACCUGCAGCUGGAGAUGGUGUGUGUGGUGGAGCCCAGCAGAAGAUAUCUCCUCUCCUCUCCUCCCCUCUCCUCUCGUCUCCUCUCUUCUCUCCGUUGUGGAGCGCCGCCCUCCCUCCCCCUCUCCCGAAGUCUCAUGUUCUCUCCCUGGGACCCCUAAGCGCCGACAUGGACACUCUGGACAGGAGGCACUCUCACGUGGCCCACUGCAGUGACAGUCGACAAAUAAACUAUUUAUACACACAAGCAUUUGACUCUCCCUUUCUCGUUCUCUCUCUCUCUCUCUAUCUUUCUCUCCCUCUCCCUCUCUCUCUCUCUCUCUCUCUCUGUUUCUUUCUACUGUGGAAGCAGAGACAUUGUAAAGUUCUGUGAUUCUCUCUCACCUCUGUUCUGAAAAGAUCUGUAUGUUUAUAUUUUUUAGCUGUUGUUGCCAUCCAUGUCUUUGUUUUUUCCUUAUUUC